rnacentral:rRNA from 1 species
GACGAACGCUGGCGGCGUGCUUAACACAUGCAAGUCGAACGGUGAAGCGCCUUCCUUUUUGGUGGGUGUGGAUGAGUGGCGAACGGGUGAGUAACACGUGAGUAACCUGCCCCCUUCUUCUGGAUAACCGCAUGAAAGUGUGGCUAAUACGGGAUAUUCUGGGUCUGUCGCAUGAUGGGUCUGGGAAAGAUAUUGUUUCGGUGGGGGAUGGGCUCGCGGCCUAUCAGCUUGUUGGUGGGGUGACGGCCUACCAAGGCGGCGACGGGUAGCCGGCCUGAGAGGGUGGACGGUCACACUGGGACUGAGACACGGCCCAGACUCCUACGGGAGGCAGCAGUGGGGAAUAUUGCACAAUGGGCGCAAGCAUGAUGCAGCGACGCCGCGUGAGGGAUGGAGGCCUUCGGGUUGUGAACCUCUUUCGCCAGUGAAGCAGGCCUGCCUCGUUUGUGGGUGGGUUGACGGUAGCUGGAUAAGAAGCGCCGGCUAACUACGUG